CCACCAAGUCGGUCGAUGAGAACUUGUUCUACUAUUUGGAUGAAUUGAGUAAACUCUCCCAGGUACAACAGUGUCAACAUUUACCUGGGGACACCCAGGACUUGUUAAUAGUUCAUGUUCGAGAACCUUCCGAUGGGGACGCAAAUGGACAAAAGUGUUGGGACACCUGGCUAUCAUAAUUAAACCAAGUUAAAAACAGUUUCCACUCUUCUGGGCGUUAUGAAAGAUGAUACAUUCACCAAGAUCGUUGAAGGUCUGGAAGCUUGGAUCAUGGAGACUCUGCAGAAGAGCCAUGCCAUCGAUGAGAUAUGCUGGAGGAUGGAGGCUCAGACAGGAUGGGUCCAUUGAACCUAUCAUGUUUCAGAAGGCACCAGCACCUAAAGAAGUUCGAGACAUCACCCACCUGUACUGUAAAGAUGGAAAAUGCAAUGAAACCAGCAAAUGCCAGUGUCUUUCAGUGGGCUUGACUUGCACUGAGUUUUGCUCUUGCUCUUUCCCAGAGUGCCCAAAUAUGACCCACUUUGUCACUGAUGAUAAUGUGGAUGAGUGACAGGGAUGGCUACCAAAAACCGCCCAUGAAGAACACCAGUCAAAGAGCUGGGGAGUUUAACGUGAGGAGAGGGCUCAUUCCUCCUCAGAGUGUUUUGUUUGAUGAACAUUUGUUUGAUUUGAAACAGUAAUUUAAUUUGUACUGU